rnacentral:lncRNA from 1 species
CUUUCAGAAAAGAUAUAUUUUAUUCUAUUUCUCACUUUUUCCUGAUUAGCAAUAUCAUUUGAUACAUACACACAUAUUACCAAACUACCACUUGGUAAGUGAAAGCUUUACUUUCUGCAGGAAAACAGCAUGUGCAGUGAUUGUGCAAUGUAAACAAAAUGCUGUCGUGGGCCCAGGAUGCAGUGCAUCAACUGUCACACUGAUCGGUCAGAUGGUUUCAGAUGUUUAAGAGUCAAAAAAUAAGAAGGGGACAGCAACAGCCCUAAACUUGGAAUAUGGCAACUAUGCACAUUUUAUGUUGGUGUGGAAACGUGACUGGAUUGGUAUUAUCUGUGAUGACAUAGUUGCUGAAGGGUUUUCGGUCUUCUCCAUGUUCUGAAAAGAAAUAAUUCAGAUGAAAGGAAAAAAGAAGUGAUGCCAAGUUAUAAAAAUGGUCUCUACUGACUUGCAUUUCAAAUUUGUCGUCCAAAUCUUGCAUUCCAUCCAGUCAUAUUUCCUAGGAUCCUUCUACAUUAAUUCUCUGCCACACAGAACUGAGCCUUUGGCUAAUGCUUCUCCAGUUACUGAAUCACGCUUAUUUUUUAACCCUUAGAACCUAAGUGUGGCCUACUCCUUGAAGCCUGCCUUGAUUAAUUCGUAUGUGAUCCCUGUAAUACCUUGGAGAUACUUGUUUUAUAAAUAAAAAUUAAUACAUAAAAUUUUAAUAAAACUAU